CAGUCGUACCGGCGGGUAAUCAGCCUUUCGGGUAUGAUUCUGUGGAGCGUGAGGAGUUAAACGCCUUCAUGCCCGCAUAUUCGUGCUCUUGGGUGUACUUGCUCGUGUGGUUGGUUAACAYCAAUUUYGGUUAUCAUAAAAUGGCUGGAGGAAUGUAGCUUCGAUUUCGAUCGAAGUGUUAUAGCCUUUGGCAGAUGUGAUGAUCGGGAUUGAGGAUUGCAACGGAUACCCUUCGGGGCUACUUGUYUGAUCUCUGAUCGUUGCUCUGGUGCCGAAAGCUUGCUUACGGUUAUCAAAGUCGAUGGUCAACAGGUUAGAACGGGUUAAA
rnacentral:rRNA from 1 species